rnacentral:rRNA from 1 species
ACUCCUACGGGAGGCAGCAGUGGGGAAUAUUGCACAAUGGGCGCAAGCCUGAUGCAGCCAUGCCGCGUGUAUGAAGAAGGCCUUCGGGUUGUAAAGUACUUUCAGCAGUGAGGAAGGUGGGUAUGUUAAUAGCAUACUCAUUUGACGUUAGCUGCAGAAGAAGCACCGGCUAACUCCGUGCCAGCAGCCGCGGUAAUACGGAGGGUGCGAGCGUUAAUCGGAAUUACUGGGCGUAAAGCGCAUGCAGGUGGUUUGUUAAGUCAGAUGUGAAAGCCCGGGGCUCAACCUCGGAAUUGCAUUUGAAACUGGCAAACUAGAGUACUGUAGAGGGGGUAGAAUUUCAGGUGUAGCGGUGAAAUGCGUAGAGAUCUGAAGGAAUACCGGUGGCGAAGGCGGCCCCCUGGACAGAUACUGACACUCAGAUGCGAAAGCGUGGGGAGCAAACAGGAUUAGAUACCCUGGUAGGCUACUGC